UUACUUUAUUUACAUAUAUUUUUCUUUUUUUUGUAUUUUUUUUUUUGUUGAAACGGGAAUACGGAUCCUCUCUCGGGUCGGCUCGGGCGCUCGUUCUUCUUCUAAUUUUUUUGGAUCCGGUCUCGCAUUUGUUCUUUUGUGAUUUUUGGGAAUUCCGAAUUUGAUCAGUUUUGUUAAAAAAUUCGUAUCCUGUGUUCCGCGAAUUAGGUCUAUGUGCUUGUUUUUUCUUCGUUUGUUUGGCCGUUUCCGGUGAAAUUCUUCCCGGGAAAAUGUAAUUCACGGCGUCGUUUUAUCAGUUUCAAUGGUUAAUUUGAUUUUGAUUUUAGUCUAAACUUUAUUUCAAUUCGUUUUGUUAAUUUUAGGUCUAACUCUCUGCUACUUUUUUUUUAUUUUAUUUUUUCUCUGUGUUUGGUAACAAGAUUAAAUCCUAAUUAAGGUGAGAUGACAUAUGUUACUGGGCACAGUUCUUCGGUUAUCUUAUACAUGACCGGUACUGGAAUUGGUAUGUAUAUCAUCAGUAUUUUGUAGAUCAAACUCAUUUCAUUUUCUAUGUCUUGUUUGCUUCGUUGUGAUAAUUGGUUCGGAAUACAGCUGAAUCCUCUAUCUAUGAGCAUCGAUCUCAAGUAUCAAUUCUAUUUUUUUCUUUCUUCUAUUUCUAAUCCCGGGCAGCAUCAUUGCUUUUCAGUUUGCUUUAUGUACAUAUCAGAGUAGCAGAAUUUAAUUAUGCUAUCUCCAGUGUUUAUGAUGAUGCAGGAUGGUUCCUUGAGUCAGUCUAUGAUUCUUUACCAAUAUUUCUAUUCAGACAUUUCGAUUAUCUUACGACUCCUGCUUCUUGGAAUUCUGAGCAUCUCUGUAUCUUGUUUUAGUCUUGCAAUAGUUCUUUAUAAAUCCUAGUUAGUUAUAUACAUUGGACUACUUUUGUUGGACAAGGAUUGGGCUUCAUUUUUUAGGUUAGCAGUGACGCUUGUAACUGUGAGCUUGAACACAAACAGGACAUACUUGAAGUUUUUCUUAUUGACAGUAUCUUCUUGGCAUGUAAAGAGUUAUACUUGGGAAGCAAUAUAUGUAUUGAAUGUUUGAUCAGUCUAUGAUUGGAUUGUCUUCUCUCUAGUGCAGGGGCUGGUGGCUUUUGCACAACAAAGUAGAACUAACAGCUCCUGCUAUUGUAGCCAAAUUUACCUACCUUGUCUUCUUGAUAGGGUGACUUUUUUGAGUCAUGGGUUUUCUGAGGGGCUGACAAACAAACAAUAUCUUUGAGAAGAACCCAAAAUAUAUGGGGUAAGCGAGCCUCCACUGGUCGUUGGUGGAAACUUGUUUGCUUCAUGCUAUUGCUAUGAUCCUUUUUCUUCUUGUCUAGUUUCUUGCUUGGUUAUGCCCGCCUCUGUCUUUGAUUGUUUAUUAUCUUGCCAUCUUGGGAAUGGUAAAGCGAAUUCCGCAAUGAUACGCUUUCAGUAACUUAUUGGGGAAUGACAAUGCACUGUAAUCAGCUUGGCGACUUGAUGCUUGCUCAGUUCCUCUCUCUCUCUUUUCGUUUGCUCAGUUACCUUAUUCAAUAAGUUCUCCAGUUCCUCCCUACCCGUUAUACCUCCUGACACCGUUGGUAUGGAGAGAAUGAAGAGACGAGGUUUGAUGUGCAGAGUACCUUAAACUUGUCGCCUGGAGAAUACUUCCCUAUGUCCCCAAGUCAUGCAUCCUCUUUUACGUUAUUUUUUUUUUUCAUCUUCCUGUUUCAAUGUGACAUAAGAAAUGAAAAUUCCAUUAUAGCUAGCUUUUAGCAGUACGUAUUAGAUUGAGAUACUUGUUAUUAGUAUUUGACAUUGAUAUCAAAAUCUUGUGAUUUAUCUGGACGAGAAUAUCGACAUAAUAACAUUACAAAACUAUUACAUCA